rnacentral:rRNA from 1 species
GACGAACGCUGGCGGCGUGCCUAAUACAUGCAAGUCGAACGCAGUGGGGACGGGUGAGUAACACGUGGCUAACCUCCCAUCAGAGGGGAUAACACUUGGAAACAGGUGCUAAACCGAUACUGAUGGAUGGACCCGCGGGGCAUUAGCUAGUUUGUGAGGUAACGGGUCACCAAGGCCACGAUGCAUAGGCGGCGUGGGAGGGUUAUCGGCGAGACGGGGACUGUUGCACGGCCCAGACGCCUCCGGGUGGCAGCAGGAGGGAAUCUUCGGCAAUGGACGAAAGUCUGACCGAGCAACUGCGCGUAAGUGAAGAAGGUUUUCGAAUCGUAAAACUCGGUUGCUAGAGAAGCGGUAUCUAACCAGAAAGCCACGGCUAACUACGUGCCAGCAGCCGCGGUAAUUC